UCUUGAUCUCAGAUCAGGCAGGAUGACCCGCUGAACUUAAGCAUAUUAGUAAGCGGAGGAAAAGAAACUAACCAGGAUUCCCUUAGUAACGGCGAGUGAAGCGGGAAUAGCCCAAUCUGAAAAGCUAGUCUGCCCUGGAGCAGGUCUCGCAUUGUAGGUUGAUGAAGCGUUUCCUAAGUUAAACCUUUCAAUUAAAGUUCCUUGGAACAGGACAUCAAAGAGGGUGAUAAUCCCGUGAUUAAUUGAAUGACAUACCAGUUUAACAACUAUGGAGCGUUUUCUUAGAGUCGGAAUGUUUGGGAUUGCAUUCCAAAAUGGGUGGUAAACUCCAUCUAAGGCUAAAUACUGGCGAGAGACCGAUAGCGAACAAGUACCGUGAGGGAAAGUUGAAAAGCACUCUGGAGAGAGAGUCAAACAGUACGUGAAAUUGCUAGCAGGGAAACGUUGGGCACCAGUACACGGCAAUCAAUGUUAAUGAUCAGUCGGUUUAUUAGUGAAUUAUAAUGCGGUGGUUAUACUUUGGAGAUUGUCCCAUUAGCGGCGACUCACGUAUUAUAAAUUAUUAAUUGACCGGUGCACUCUUUAACAGCCGGGUCAACAUCGGUUAAUGACGUCUAACAAGUUAGUUUUCAUACAACUGCAGGUGGCGAAAAUGUAGCAAGAGUAAGUUUAAUCGCUUACUUUUGAACUUAUAAGUCUUCUAGCAACGAUGUCAUUGACCGAGGAUUAAUCGAUUCGUGCGUUUCGGCGCAGGGCGUAUUAGUGAUGUUAAAGCUACACGUGUCAUUAAACAGCGUGCUGAUUAAUGGUCACUUUGCUAAUGCCACGUUGUAUAGCAGAGGUAGUUGCAUCGCUAAUACAAGCCACUAGCGAGUCUAUGAAUGUUGACGAAAUGGUAUUCAACGACCCGUCUUGAAACACGGACCAAGGAGUCUAACAUGUCUGCGAGUGUUUGGGUGGAAAACCCUUACGCGGAAUGAAAGUGAAGAGGCAAGUUUCGUACUUGCCCACUGGUAGGAAUCGAAGCGUUACGGCGCGACGAGGCACUACCGACCGACCUGUUACCCUCUGUGGUGGUAGGUUUGAGUUGGAGCAGUCCUGUUAGGACCCGAAAGAUGGUGAACUAUGCCUGAGCAGGAUGAAGUCAGAGGAAACUCUGAUGGAGGUCCGUAGCGGUUCUGACGUGCAAAUCGAUCGUCUGACUUGGGUAUAGGGGCGAAAGACUAAUCGA
rnacentral:rRNA from 1 species